AUUUCUGUAAGAGACUGCUUUCAUUGCUGCUAUAAAACAUGGCUCCUUCAUUGCCAGUGGAUGCAGAGCUCUGCAUGGACUCAAAGAGCGCUGUAGUCUCUCUCCGUUCUAGUCAGCCUUAUAUAAACUAUUCCCAAUCCCUGUAUCUAGCUAUAGGCCUUGCAAACUUGUGUCCAUGUAAAUAACACAUUUUUACCUUCACAGAUUGUUCUCCUAUUUCUUAAGUCCCCUUUAAUUUUUCUAUUUGAUUUAUUGCUGAAUUAGAAAUGAAUCAUACUUAUUUUAGUUCACACACAUUAUUCUCUUAACAGUGUGUGUACACGCUGUUACUCUCACAGGUGCUGUCUUCUUUGAAUUCUUUGCAACCAAGUACACCUCUAUCAUAAAAGGAUUGGUGUCCUCACAAGAGAGGCCAGUGGACUUGUUCACUUCAGCUCCAAGUAAGAACCUAGACAGGAGACAAGUGUCAUGUAUGGAGACAUUUCCAAUAAUUGAAUCUACAAGUUCUUUGACCUGAAGACUCUCUACCCUCCAGAACUACAGAUAUACUCAAAUCGGCUUCAUCAGUACAGGAAUAGGAGUGCACACCAGCAAGCCCAGCACUUGGAAAUAAAGGCAGGAGGGUACCAAAUUUGAAGCCAGCCUGGGCUAUACACCAAGUUCCACACCAGCUUGGGCUACAGAGGCAGAUCCAGUCUCAUCUUUUUUUCCUUCUACACUAGUUACCACAAUGUUGGGUAUGUGUAUUA